rnacentral:rRNA from 1 species
AACGAACGCUGGCGGCAUGCCUAACACAUGCAAGUCGAACGAGAUCUUCGGAUCUAGUGGCGCACGGGUGCGUAACGCGUGGGAAUCUGCCCUUGGGUUCGGAAUAACAGUGAGAAAUUACUGCUAAUACCGGAUGAUGUCUUCGGACCAAAGAUUUAUCGCCCAAGGAUGAGCCCGCGUAGGAUUAGGUAGUUGGUGGGGUAAUGGCCUACCAAGCCGACGAUCCUUAGCUGGUCUGAG